rnacentral:rRNA from 1 species
GCAUGGCUGUCGUCAGCUCGUGUCGUGAGAUGUUGGGUUAAGUCCCGCAACGAGCGCAACCCUCAUCCUUAGUUGCUAUCAGGUAAUGCUGAGUACUUUAAGGAAACUGCCAGUGAUAAGCUGGAGGAAGGUGGGGAUGAUGUCAAGUCAUCAUGGCCUUUAUGGAGUGGGCUACACACGUGCUACAAUGGUGUCUACAAUGGGCUGCAAGGUGCGCAAGCCUAAGCUAAUCCCUAAAAGACAUCUCAGUUCGGAUUGUACUCUGCAACUCGAGUACAUGAAGUUGGAAUCGCUAGUAAUCGUGGAUCAGCAUGCCACGGUGAAUACGUUCUCGGGUCUUGUACACACUGCCCGUCACGCCAUGGGAAU